UUCUGUCAGUUGCUUGGUGCUGAAAUUCGUGCGGAUCGCGCUGGAGGGGCUAGCGGCCCCAUACUCGGCGAGUUUGCCUGCAACGUAAAGACAGAGCGUCAGCCAGGCCAAAGGCCGGGGACAGAACGUGGGUGAGCAGUGGAGCUAGUUAGAAUCAAAGUCCCAGCGCAGCCCUCCUGGGUCCCUAGGAACAGAAUUUGUGCCAAGAGACAUUCCACGGAGAGCUCCUUCCUGAAAUUUUCUGAAUGCCUGGCACAUUUUCCGAGUCUGUACUCGAGGCAGACUCAAUGGAAUUCGCCCGGGAACGCGUCUCCUCCACAAAACCCAAACCGCUGUCUGGAGAGGCAGCGGCACCAAGCUCCCAGCGCAUUUCCGCGGGGGAGGCUCCGUCCCCAACCCCAGGUGGCCCCAUCCAAGGCCCGCGGACUUACCUUUCUUAGAGGCAUUCCUCUUCACUUUCAUCCACUCGAACGUGCUGAAGGCGGCAGGGAGGCCGCAGGCGGGAGAGACGGACUUGGGGUAGGUGCCUGGGGCCGGGGAUGCGGUCUGGAAAGCACCAGGGUGGCCGUCGUCUGGCGCUUUGAGACACGCCGGAAAGGGGCCGGGCUCGCCGAAGGCCGCGUAAUCCACCUGGCCGCUGAGGAGGAAAGAGCCGCCGCCCGAGAAGACGGCCGAGGUGGCGUAGUGGACGUGAGACCCGCCGUCGUCGGCCGCCCGCCCCAGCACGCCCGGGAAGUCGUACGCCGGCCCGGACCCCAGGAAGCCGUAGUCCGCGCCCCCCGCUGCCGCGGCAGGUGCGGCACCAGAAAUAAAUUAAUUUAUACCUCUAUCAGCAAUAUAUGAGAGUUCCUGUCUCCUCACACCUUUGCCAAGUCAAUGGGAUGUUGAAGUUUUUAUGUUUGCCAAUCUGGUAAGUGAAAAAUAAUACCUUUUAUUUACUCUUAUAACAUCUCCCAAAAUAUCUCUCUUCCUUAUCUUGAGCCUUUCAUAAUUCUGUAUUACAAAUGAUAAUACUAACACAGAAAAGAUAACCAACUUGCUGUAAUCACACCUGGUGUAAAUGGCCAAAGUCAGAUGUUCAGCACUCUUCCCUAUACUACACCAUUCCACACAGGGCUCAAGGAGGUUCAAAAGAGAGUAGGUGGCUUCAAGCAUUCCCUGAAAGACACAUGAUAUUUAAAAAAAAAAAAAGCAUGGAAGCUUUCUGACAUCUGCUAAAAGACCUCUUCUUUAGUGGUUUGAUACCAAGAACACAUUUCUGCAUGAAUCCUCCAGCAAGUACCGCUCUUGAAGGAGACGGUUCUGAAUAGCAAUUUGAUCUGACCUGGUCCUAAACAUUAGCUUGGAUUCAAUAUCUAGGAAGCAGUAGGAUGUUGUUGUUUUUAAUUUCUCUAAGACAUUUCUCACUGGACACCCGGGAUCUAAGUAUUCAUCAGCAUGGUGUGAGUGCGGGUGUGUUUUUCCUAGGUUUUAGCUUUAUAUAGAACACUCACUUGGGCCUGGUGAAGAUACCAGUACCUAACACACAUUCCCAUACAACUCUAAUGAUAAGCCUAUGAGGUAGAUAUCUUUAUUGAUUCUUUCACUAAUGAAACUGAAGUCCAGAAAGAUUAAGUGGGUUGCUUAGGGCCACACAGUGUAUCAGUAGCAAAGCAGAAAAUACAACGUAGACUGCAACCGAACUCAUUAGAUUCCUUGCAAAGCCUUCUCUUCUCCCUCCUCUAUUCAUUUUAGUGAAUGACGUGACUCAGUCCCUCAAAUCCACAACUCCUCUUUUACUCAUCCAAUUGAUCACUAAGUCCUGUGAAUUCUACCCCUAAAUGUCUUUUCUCUUCACUCUUGUUACAUUAGUUCCUCUCUCUGCCGUGUUGUUGCAGUCACCUCCUAUUUUGUUCUUCUUGCCUCCUAUCUCUCCUUUCUCUAAUCAGCACAGCAUCCCUGAGUUAGCUUCAAAAUAUGUUACUUCACAUCCCAGCUUAAAACCUGCAGUGGUUCCCCAUUCUCUAGAGAGUAGGUCCAGACUCCUUCACGUGAACCCUGUGCAAUCUCUCUUUUCAGCCAGGAUAACCAAACUCCAAAGUACUCUCCUUGUUCCAAGCCCAGACUUUGCUUUUUCCUCCCUCUUUGCUUUUGCAUGAGUUGUCCUCUCUAUCUGGUAUGGCCUUCCCUUCUUGGCCUGAAAAACGCUUAUGUUUCAGGAACCCGAAUUCACCUCCUCUGAAACUAUUUUUUCGACAUUAUAGUACUACUAGUGGCUCCUUUUUUAUUAGAGGAACAUUUUGACCACACCUCCGUUAUAGCACCUGUCGUAUUGUUUUAAGAUUAUUUCUCUUCCCCACUAGAUUGAAGAGCAUACACCAUCAGUGACUUGUCUUUGUAUCCCAGAGCCCAGCACAGUGUGUAUAGGAGCUGUUCACUAGAAAUUGGUGAAAGGCAAGGAGGAGGAACAGACUGAACCAAGGACAGCAGGACCAGUAGUUUCAUUGCUCAGUGAGUUCAGGACACUGUGUGAGGCUUAAUGCUUCAGCUUAUAUCUAUCUGAAGCAACAUGGUAGAACAUUUUUCCAAAGCAAGUUAAUUUUCCACGCAAGAGGAUGAAGGGAGAGAAGGCUGAAGGAAGAGGGGGCAAAGCUGAGGCUUUCUCUCCUUCAGGUAGUAUUUUCUGUGGGCUGAGGCAACACAUUUACUAACUUCAGAAACAGCUCAGCUGAAGUCCCCCAGCAAAAAAGGGUAAAAGGGGAACUAGGCUGGAACUUUGUUAGGAUUUACAAAGAGAACAGCAUGACCACUCCAGAAGGGUUUAAAAAUGCUUCACCACUAACUCCACCAAACCCUCCUGCUGUAAACAGCUCUAAUGCUAGUGACUACCCUCAGACACUUGCUGUCUAUCCCUUUAGGGUGUUCUUAAAAUAAACCGGAAAGAACGGAGGUAAAAAUACUGGAGUGUUUCCUCCACACUGGAAAGGAGAGGUGAGUCAUAUCAUUGUGAUUGGUGUUUUAAGUAUAUUUUUAUUGUUAUUUUAAAUGGCAUUCAAGUUUAGCUUCAAGUUCAACAGCAGUCUUAGCCUACUUCCUCCCACACAAAUACUCCUGCCAGUAAAUAGGCACUCUUAAAUAAAACAGUGCCUGCAAGAACCUUCUGACCCAUUGAAGUUAGUCUUGCCCUGUCUUCAGAGGUGUAUUCGUCCCUCUCUGGGUGUAGAGCGGUAUUUAAGGGUGACACUUGGGCACGCAGGAGGUGUGGCAGGGGGCGGGGAAUGCAGGGUCACUGUGGCUCAGGGGCGGGUGUGGGUGCAGGCGCGUUGGGAGGACUCUGGGCGCCCUAGGAAGUCCGAGGGCAGGCGGCAGGGCUGGCGGCCGGCAGUGCUGGCUCCCCACGUGAGGUGGUGACGGCGGGCCCUGCUCCCAGGCCCUGUGCUGCCGACCGCUGUCCUGGCUGCGCAGCUCCCCAGCAGGCGCCGGGCUCAGGUCGCGCCUUCAGUUAGCGCUCAGCCUGCGCGCCUGCGUCUCCUCCGCUUGCGGUUUCUGGUCGGAUCCCAGCUGGCCCAGACUUGCUCUGAAGUAGGAGGAACCGCUGUCGAGCGAAAAGUGCACACCGGGUGAUUGAUGAACUCUUAAUAGAACUAACCUCUCCCGCCCCCCACCAUAGACACACACAGAGAAAUCCUCCACCCCAGCCCCUUCUCCAGUCCUCCUCGCGGGCGAGAGGGGACGCGGCCGCCAGCCGGUAGGGUGAUUAACUCACCGUCUGUCUUUGCAAAAGUGUUCCAGGUGGAUCAUGAGCACCCGCCCACCCCGCCCGCAGCCUGGCAGCUCGAGGAGGCGCGGAGAGCGCGCAGCGAGCGCGCGCGUCACGUGGCGGCGCGGACGUUUGUGCCGCGCGCCCACCAGACCGCCCAGGAGGCGGCGGCUAUUGUUCCCCGCCGGGGCCCGGGGCGCCAUGAAACGGGGUCCACGCCAGCCCCCUCCCGAGCGUGUCCUCAGGUCUAAGGACGGGUGGGGCUUCUUUUGUGUGUUCUCUGGAAGGGCCUGGGAUGGCGUCGUUGCUGCCCCAAGGGGUAACCGAGGCGGGAUGAAGGAAGAUGGUACCAGCUCCCUAGAGCUCAGCUCACCAGACCUACUCUUCCGCUCGGCCCUUGCAGAGGAGGUGGGGAGGGGUAUGGUAUUUGUAGGGCAGCGCUGUGAACAAUGGAACCAUCAAAAAGGCCUUCUCCCAGCCGCCUCACCAACCACGGACAUUCCUGGCCCAACAAGCCCUCCUGGCCUGGUUUUGAGCCCUGCUUCCCAGAUCUGGGGACCCUUCACCUGCCUCUACUACUGCAAAUGAUUGGAUAUUCGUCUGCCUUGGCUCUUCCCUAAUGUGUGGAACUAAUUUUGUUCACUCUGUUUCAUGCUGGACCUGGCCUGAAAAUGGGCCCUUACAUUGUCUUUGCACUUUCCAACUUGCCAAGUUUCUGAAAGAAGGACCAAAGUAAUGCCAAGAACUCCCAGAUGAAGAGGACCUUCCUUAGACCUAUAACAGAUUCACUACUUGACUUCAGAGGGACGUUUCAGCUAAUUCUCAGGAAAAGGUCAAAACAGGCCUGUGACUGUCCCUCGAAUACUGAAGGUAUAAACAAGCUUCUGGCUCCUCCAGGUCAAGCAGAGGAACACUUUUAUUAGAAUGAAGGGUUACUUCUUUGUUAUUCAAACACACACCCACACACAUCCUCUGUAGUCUCCCUAAUGAAAAACCUCAACAGAUGGAGAGCCUGAGCUCCCACGUCCGCAGGCUGAGAAGAUGCACUUCACUCAGGGGCCAGUGGGCUGGUACAGACUAGGGAAAGGAAAAGGGACAAAGGCUGCUAGUGUAGGUAAUCACUAUCUUCUAAUACUCCUAACACAUAGAAAUUUGAAAAAUCUUGUUCAGCAAUGUUAGCAGCCUCUGAAGCCUCGGAAACUAAUUUGGCUGAUGUGUCUCUGAUAGGGAGCUUAGGGCUGCACCGAGGGGAAACAUUCUCCUCCUGUAUUCUCUCCUCUCUCUCAUUUGAAAGCCUGUACAAAGAAAUGGUACAGGUGGAUGGUUAACUUAACGAUUCCAUCAGAGGCAGAUUUUUCUCUGUCAGGUUCCUGGAUGAGGUGGAGGUCUGAAAGCCAGGAGACAGAAUAUGUACUUAAUUGCCCCUUCUGACCUGCUUACCAGUGACCAGGACUACUCUCCAGGCCUUUCUUCUGCCACUUCCCCAUUCUUCCUGGCUAGUUCAGUUGGGUCUCAGCACUUCAACUCCUGGCUGGAUCCUGAGUUUUUCUUGGUUGCAGGGAAAGCUCUCACUGUCUGCAUCUCCUUCCCCACCCCCACCUCCCAUUUUGCAGCUGGUCAUUCUGGCUGCCUCACAGCUAUCCUGCCUUAAUUCACAUUUGAUUGCCUGGACAGAACACCACCAAGAAUGUCCAGACGACUGCCACCCCUCACCCAUGGGCCUGAGAUCCUGCCCUGACCCCUUUCUUCAGACCCGGGGAGGACCCACAAUCUCCCUGAUCCCCACCUUCCCCAAAGUGGUCUCUAUAGGAAAAAAGCAGAGCUGGCUAAGACCUGAGACAGAGCCAUUUCUUCCCCUUGGGCAAACGAGGUAGACCCUCCCAGAGACCAAUGCCGGAGAGACCCGGAUCCGAGCUCCCUUUAUAUGGCCUCCCCCAUCACGGAACCCGUGGGAAAACCUGGCACACAAUGGCGCGGCUGCUUCGGGCACCCUCAAGCCAGCACCCUGCGGCAAGGCCUGGAGCAGCCUCGUGGUCUUGGUGCGCUCCCUUUGCCCUCCCCGCAACCCUCUGCGAGCACUCGUCCCGGGAGAGAGACCCUGGCUAGGGUGGAGGUUGCCUCCCGCAAAGGGCGCUGUUGCUGGGGCCUCCCCUCCCCCAUUCUCUUGUUUUUCUGCUUCUGAGACUCGGGUGGGGGGGGCGGGGGGAGGCGGCAGGCGCCUCCGCAGCCGAUAGAGCAGCUAUUGUGACCUUCCGUUGCAGAGCGGGAACCCAGCCGAGUGUGUACCGCCGGCAGUGGCGGGGGAGGAGGCGACUGUGUGUGCAAACCUCAGUCGGAGAGGGGGUGGCGCUGGGAAAUAAAGGUUUGCAACCUCAGGCAGUUGGGCCCUUCAGAGGGCGUUUGGUUGUGUUCAGACUCGGGUGCUUUCUAACACUAAUUGCAGGCUCAAAAGGAGCGGAAUUUAUUGCGAAGGCCAAGGCGGCUUGUUUAUAAUUUAUGAAGUUUUAAAUGGCUGUGCCGCGGGCCCCAACUUUCUCCUGGGCUGGCAGCCGCGCGGAAACGCGCCCUCCCACGGCUCGCCGCCCACCCCCACCCACGCCCCUCAGAUGAGUCUCACGCCAAUGGCAGGAACAGAUCCGAGCUAUUAGAAGUCUCGGGAACCUCCAGAGGUGACAGAACGUGGCAGAUUUGGUCCAAGCCCUCACCCCACUCCAGAGGAGGGCGUCGGGGAAAGCUGCGGCUGCCUGGAGAGGGAGCCCCUGAUCCCACACUUCCUUGGAGCCUGAGUGUGAGAGGAAGCUAAUGUCAGCCGGGCUAGACACCGUUUAAAGUCUAAUCCAUGAAACCCUAAGCCACAAAUGACACUUGGGGCUUUGCAGACACCCGCAGACUCAGCAGAUACUCCUGCGGUAACACACUGUGCUGGAAAACGCCUGGAGCCAUGACACAUUAUGUAUUCUUAUUAUUUAUGGUAGGAAGAGGAGAUGAGGGAAAAUCGGGCUGAAUCUAAGCAGCCUGAGAAUUCAGCUAGUUAAUAUUUAGCCAGUUAAGAAAGGUGGUUGUAAUCGCUGCAAGGCAGUGAGCGCUUCCUUGAUUUCUCUAAUAGCUUAAAAAAUAAUUUCUUACAAGACAAUUAGAAAUUCUGCCUAUGGAUGCAAAUUUCAUAGAAAACAAUGUUAAGCCUUGAAAGUGGGUAAAAUGUGCCUUCGAUUGAAAUCAUUUAUUCUGUUGAUACACUUCUACAACAUAUAUAUUUUAAACCUGCUCAGAUAAAGUGAAAUUUAGCAAAAGGAUAUCCCCUCCCACCCCCAAAUCUAACAUGCCAUUUUAAAAACAGCACAAAGGAACAAGGAAACUAAAUAUUAUUUUGAGCCAUCAUUACUUAGUGAAAUACAAACAUCCAAAUAGAAACGAUUGUUGUUCCACCAGAAGAUUAGAAGUUAAAUUAUUUCCACACAAUAGGAAUUUCACCUCGUGUCAUCGGGGAUGUAGUAGGAAUUGCAUUAUUUGUCAAACCAAAUAGAGAUGUGUGGGCUGACUUUGCUGAAAUACAAAAGAAUUGAACCUUAUCUGAAGGCGUUUUCUAAGUGGCCCCUCCCAUAGAAGCCGGGAAGUUGUCCACCCCAAGCAGAAGCCACAUUAAUAUUUACAAAAUGGUUAUAAAUCCUUGAAGACAUUUUUGCCCAUUUUGUAUAAGAAACAGGAGUAAACAAGGUGUUUAUACUUGUUAUGUUUCAUUAAUGAAACUUUUAUUACUUUACAUCAUGGGGAAUGUUUGUUUUCUUUAGAAAUGAACUAAUGAUCACUACAAAGGAAGAAUUCAUGACAGCAUUUCCUAGAGAAAAAGCUUAGGUGCACGUCUCCAAAUGAUGGUUUCUUUUUCUACACCUUAGCUUUUUCAUAGCUCAAUUCUUUUUACAACUUCUCGUGUUUUUUUUUUUUUUUUUGAUUGUCAGUUUUCUUUCAAAGUUUAUUUUUUGUUACUUAAUGCAGAAAAGUGAGCUCUGGCCUCCCCAGUGUAAAGUCGAUUGUGUCUAGAAAGAAGGCAGUAAAAACAGCAAAGCAGGCGCUGCUUUCAAAAAGCCCUGCCCAAAUCAUCCUGCCCAGAACCUUUUUAGGUUUGCAUCCUCAUUUCCCCCUCCCCUAAUUUCAAUAGCUGGAAAGUAAUCAAGUAUCCCCAGAACCAAUUUAUGCACUAGACUCCAAAUAAAUAAAAUAUUUUUUUCAAAGUGUCA